GAUGAACGCUAGCGGCGGGCCUAAUACAUGCAAGUCGAACGGUGUCUUCGGACAUAGUGGCGCACGGGUGCGUCACACGUAUGCAACCUACCUUACAUUGGGGGAUAGCCUCUCGAAAGGGAGUUUAAUACCGCAUAAGACAGUAGCUGGGCAUCCAGCAGCUGUUAAAGAUUUAUCGAUGCAAGCUGGGCAUGCGUCCAAUUAGCUAGUUGGUGAGGUAACGGCUCACAAAGGCAAUGAUUGGUAGGGGAACUGAGAGGUCAAUCCCCCACACUGGCACUGAGAUACGGGCCAGACUCCUACGGGAGGCAGCAGUAGGGAAUAUUGGGCAAUGGACGCAAGUCUGACCCAGCCAUGCCGCGUGCAGGAUGAAGGCGAUAUGCGUUGUAAACUGCUUUUAUACAGGAAGAAACGACUCUUGCGAGAGGCAUUGACGGUACUGUAUGAAUAAGCACCGGCUAACUCCGUGCCAGCCGCCGCGGUAAAAC
rnacentral:rRNA from 1 species